CGCGUGCACUGGUGGUUCUUCUUCUUUUCUCAAUUACAGUGGAAGUGCAGCACGACUAUCGUUCAUCUCCGCAAAGGACUGUGUCACUGAUAUCACGCGGUUCACACACUAGCCCACCGACUGACACUAGCACACUCACACGCGGCCACAUGUGGAUUAUAAUCGCCCCCGUCGCGCCCAGCGUUCCAGCUUUCCCACUGAUUCGUUCACCAAAUUCUGCUCUUGCACCUCUCCUACCCGCAGUCACACACAAAAGGGUGUUCACACACAGGUGGUCACAGAAACCAGAUUUCUCGCACACAGUCUCACAAGCGCACAACCCACCCGAGCAAGCACGUGUCGUCGCUCGCUGUUCUCGAAGUUGCCGUACUGCUGCCGUGUACUGCCACCUACUACACUAACGAACCAGCGAACUCAAACUCGGCUCACGCGCUGCAGCCCGCACCAAACAUCACCGUGACCGAUGCAAAUGGCGGGGGGUGGAGUGGGCGCGAGCGGGCGCUAGAUGGGCCCGCUGGCGGGCAAGGGGUAUAGGGCAAGGAAAAGCCAAAUCCGCGUCGUCCCCAGAAUGUGUGUGUGUGUGUUUGUGUGUAUGUGUGGUGUGCGGCUAGCGCAUACGAGAGCAAGCUCGCGGUGAGAUACCGCGACCAGUUCAAAUCUCACUCGAUUACAGGGUGGCUAGGGAAUGUUAAACAGUCAUUGAACAAUCGAACAGAAUCAAUUGGAAAACUCCACAUUUUCUUUUUCCCUUUCAAACAACUUUGUAAUCUUCAAUCUUGAUCUUAAUAAUCUUCUUUCAUAACUGGUAGCGUUAAAUGCCCAGGAAAUCAGAACAGAAAUCAUUUACAUAGGCCGACUUGAACGAAGCUGUUUUAGAUAAUGUUUUCUUGGUUUUCUGUGGUUAAUUCACUAAAAAAAUCAGGGUGUUGUUGAUUAAAUUACAGUCAAUUAUUGUACACACCCUUAGUUUAAAGCAUUUUCGCUUUCUCUUCAGGCGUAUAAAACAUUACAUUAUUAAUUUUCUUUUGCUUCAAACAAGUACUACAAUUAUCAUCAUCAAACUUGUUUAACAUUUCAACUGGUAAACCAGACAAUAAAAUUCUCCUAAAUAACAAUAAAA